GACGAACGCUGGCGGCGUGCUUAACACAUGCAAGUCGAACGGAAAGGCCCUGCUUUUGUGGGGUGCUCGAGUGGCGAACGGGUGAGUAACACGUGAGUAACCUGCCCUUGACUUUGGGAUAACUUCGGGAAACUGGGGCUAAUACCGGAUAGGAGCUCCUGCUGCAUGGUGGGGGUUGGAAAGUUUCGGCGGUUGGGGAUGGACUCGCGGCUUAUCAGCUUGUUGGUGGGGUAGUGGCUUACCAAGGCUUUGACGGGUAGCCGGCCUGAGAGGGUGACCGGCCACAUUGGGACGGAGAUGCGGCCCAGACUACUACGGGAGGCAGCAGUGGGGAAUAGUGCACAAUGGGCUGAAGCAUGAUGCAGCAACGCCGCGUGCGGGAUGACGGCCUUCGGGUUGUAAACCGCUUUCGCCUGUGACGAAGCGUGAGUGACGGUAAUGGGUAAAGAAGCACCGGCUAACUACGUG
rnacentral:rRNA from 1 species